rnacentral:rRNA from 1 species
AAACAUGGCUCCUUGUCUUNUAGUAUAUAGGGAGUCGGACCUGCCCGGUGAAAUUUUUUAACGGCCGCGGUACUCUGACCGUGCAAAGGUAGCAUAAUCAUUUGCCUUAUAAUUGAAGGCUAGUAUGAAUGGUUUGACAAGAAUAUAGCUGUCUCUUCCUGAUUAAAUAGAAUUUUAUUUACAGGUGAAGAAGCCUGUAUUAAAUUAAAAGACAAGAAGACCCUAUCGAGCUUUAAAAAAAUUAAUAGAUANAAACAAUCAAUANUAAUUAAAAGAUUAGCUAUUAAAAAUUUUAGUUGGGGCGACUGAGGAACAAGAAAAGCUUCCUUUAUANAAGUAAAANUCAUACAAGCACUGAUCCAGAAUAUUCUGAUUAAAGGAAUUAGUUACCGUAGGGAUAACAGCAUUAUCUUCUYUAAGAGCCCUUAUCGAAAAGAAGGUUUGUGACCUCGAUKUUGGACCAGAAUAUCCUAAAGAUGCAGCAGUCUUAAGGG